GAUGAACGCUGGCGGCGUGCCUAAUACAUGCAAGUCGAGCGAACAGACGAGGAGCUUGCUCCUUUGAUGUUAGCGGCGGACGGGUGAGUAACACGUAGGUAACCUACCUAUAAGACUGGGAUAACUUCGGGAAACCGGAGCUAAUACCGGAUAAUAUUUCGAACCGCAUGGUUCGAUAGUGAAAGAUGGCUUUGCUAUCACUUAUAGAUGGACCUGCGCCGUAUUAGCUAGUUGGUAAGGUAACGGCUUACCAAGGCAACGAUACGUAGCCGACCUGAGAGGGUGAUCGGCCACACUGGAACUGAGACACGGUCCAGACUCCUAAGGGAGGCAGCAGUAGGGAAUGUUCCGCAAUGGGCGAAAGCCUGACGGAGCAACGCCGCGUGAGUGAUGAAGGUCUUCGGAUCGUAAAACUCUGUUAUUAGGGAAGAACAAACGUGUAAGUAACUGUGCACGUCUUGACGGUACCUAAUCAGAAAGCCACGGCUAACUACGUG
rnacentral:rRNA from 1 species